rnacentral:rRNA from 1 species
CAAUAGCGUAUAUUUAAGUUGCUGCAGUUAAAAAGCUCGUAGUUGGAUUUCGGGUGGGAAUGGCCGGUCCGCCGUUUCGGUGUGCACUUGCUACGCCCACCUUGCUGCCGGGGACGUGCUCUUGAGUUCACGCUCGGGACACGGAGUCGGCGAGGUUACUUUGAGUAAAUUAGAGUGUUCAAAGCAGGCCUACGCUCUGAAUACAUUAGCAUGGAAUAACACGAUAGGACUCUGGCCUAUCUUGUUGGUCUGUAGGACCGGAGUAAUGAUUAAGAGGGACAGUCGGGGGCAUUCGUAUUUCAUUGUCAGAGGUGAAAUUCUUGGGUUUAUGAAAGACGAACUACUGCGAAAGCAUUUGCCAAGGAUGUUUUCAUUAA